rnacentral:rRNA from 1 species
UACAGAGGUCCCAAGCGUUGUUCGGAUUCACUGGGCGUAAAGGGUGCGUAGGUGGCUUGGUAAGUUUGAUGUGAAAUCUCCGGGCUUAACCCGGAAAUGGCAUUGAAUACUAUUGAGCUGGAGGUUUGGAGGGGGGACUGGAAUUCUCGGUGUAGCAGUGAAAUGCGCAGAUAUCAGGAAGAACACCCGUGGCGAAGGCGGUUCUCUGGGACGGUACUGACGCUGAGACGCGAAAGCGUGGGGAGCAAACAGG